rnacentral:tRNA from 1 species
CGGGGUAUAGCGCAGUUCGGUAGCGCGCCUGCUUUGGGAGCAGGAUGUCAGGAGUUCGAAUCCCCUUACCCCGACCA